rnacentral:rRNA from 1 species
AUUGAACGCUGGCGGCAGGCCUAACACAUGCAAGUCGAACGGUAACAGAAAGCAGCUUGCUGCUUUGCUGACGAGUGGCGGACGGGUGAGUCAUGUCUGGGAAACUGCCUGAUGGAGGGGGAUAACUACUGGAAACGGUAGCUAAUACCGCAUAACGUCGCAAGACCAAAGAGGGGGACCUUCGGGCCUCUUGCCAUCGGAUGUGCCCAGAUGGGAUUAGCUAGUAGGUGGGGUAACGGCUCACCUAGGCGACGAUCCCUAGCUGGUCUGAGAGGAUGACCAGCCACACUGGAACUGAGACACGGUCCAGACUCCUACGGGAGGCAGCAGUGGGGAAUAGUGCACAAUGGGCGCAAGCCUGAUGCAGCCAUGCCGCGUGUAUGAAGAAGGCCUUCGGGUUGUAAAGUACUUUCAGCGGGGAGGAAGGGAGUAAAGUUAAUACCUUGGCUCAUUGACGUUACCCGCAGAAGAAGCACCGGCUAACUCCGUG